GAUGAACGCUGGCGGCGUGCCUAAUACAUGCCGGUCGAGCGAACGGGCGAGAAGCUUGCUUCUCUGAUGUUAGCGGCGGACGGGUGAGUAACACGUGGAUAACCUACCUAUAAGACUGGGAUAACUUCGGGAAACCGGAGCUAAUACCGGAUGAUAUUUUGAACCGCAUGGUUCAAAAGUGAAAGACGGUCUUGCUGUCACUUAUAGAUGGAUCCGCGCUGCAUUAGCUAGUUGGUAAGGUAACGGCUUACCAAGGCAACGAUGCAUAGCCGACCUGAGAGGGUGAUCGGCCACACUGGAACUGAGACACGGUCCAGACUCCUACGGGAGGCAGCAGUAGGGAAUCUUCCGCAAUGGGCGAAAGCCUGACGGAGCAACGCCGCGUGAGUGAUGAAGGUCUUCGGAUCGUAAAACUCUGUUAUUAGGGAAGAACAUAUGUGUAAGUAACUGUGCACAUCUUGACGGUACCUAAUCAGAAAGCCACGGCUAACUACGUG
rnacentral:rRNA from 1 species